rnacentral:rRNA from 1 species
GGGCCCGCACAAGCAGUGGAGUAUGUGGUUUAAUUCGACGCAACGCGAAGAACCUUACCAAGUCUUGACAUCCUGCGACGGAUAUAGAAAUAUGUCUUUCCUUCGGGACGCAGAGACAGGUGGUGCAUGGUUGUCGUCAGCUCGUGUCGUGAGAUGUUGGGUUAAGUCCCGCAACGAGCGCAACCCUUAUGGUCAGUUACUACGCAAGAGGACUCUGGCCAGACUGCCGUUGACAAAACGGAGGAAGGUGGGGAUGACGUCAAAUCAUCAUGCCCUUUAUGACUUGGGCUACACACGUACUACAAUGGCGUUAAACAAAGAGAAGCAAGACCGCGAGGUGGAGCAAAACUCAGAAACAACGUCCCAGUUCGGACUGCAGGCUGUAACUCGCCUGCACGAAGUCGGAAUUGCUAGUAA